rnacentral:rRNA from 1 species
UGCACCGAAGCUGCGGCAGCGACACUGUGUGUUGUUGGGUAGGGGAGCGUUCUGUAAGCCUGCGAAGGUGGCCUGUGAGGGUUGCUGGAGGUAUCAGAAGUGCGAAUGCUGACAUAAGUAACGAUAAAGCGGGUGAAAAGCCCGCUCGCCGGAAGACCAAGGGUUCCUGUCCAACGUUAAUCGGGGCAGGGUGAGUCGACCCCUAAGGCGAGGCCGAAAGGCGUAGUCGAUGGGAAACGGGUUAAUAUUCCCGUACUUGGUGUUACUGCGAAGGGGGGACGGAGAAGGCUAUGUUGGCCGGGCGACGGUUGUCCCGGUUUAAGCGUGUAGGUGUGUGUUCCAGGUAAAUCCGGUUCACUUUAACACUGAGGCGUGACGACGAGGCACUACGGUGCUGAAGCAACAAAUGCCCUGCUUCCAGGAAAAGCCUCUAAGCAUCAGGUAACAUCAAAUCGUACCCCAAACCGACACAGGUGGUCAGGUAGAGAAUACCAAGGCGCUUGAGAGAACUCGGGUGAAGGAACUAGGCAAAAUGGUGCCGUAACUUCGGGAGAAGGCACGCUGACACGUAGGUGAAGUGAUUUACUCAUGGAGCUGAAGUCAGUCGAAGAUACCAGCUGGCUGCAACUGUUUAUUAAAAACACAGCACUGUGCAAACACGAAAGUGGACGUAUACGGUGUGACGCCUGCCCGGUGCCGGAAGGUUAAUUGAUGGGGUCAGCGCAAGCGAAGCUCCUGAUCGAAGCCCCGGUAAACGGCGGCCGUAACUAUAACGGUCCUAAGGUAGCGAAAUUCCUUGUCGGGUAAGUUCCGACCUGCACGAAUGGCGUAAUGAUGGCCAGGCUGUCUCCACCCGAGACUCAGUGAAAUUGAACUCGCUGUGAAGAUGCAGUGUACCCGCGGCAAGACGGAAAGACCCCGUGAACCUUUACUAUAGCUUGACACUGAACAUUGAGCCUUGAUGUGUAGGAUAGGUGGGAGGCUUUGAAGUGUGGACGCCAGUCUGCAUGGAGCCGACCUUGAAAUACCACCCUUUAAUGUUUGAUGUUCUAACGUGGACCCGUUACCCGGGUUGCGGACAGUGUCUGGUGGGUAGUUUGACUGGGGCGGUCUCCUCCUAAAGAGUAACGGAGGAGCACGAAGGUUGGCUAAUCCUGGUCGGACAUCAGGAGGUUAGUGCAAUGGCAUAAGCCAGCUUGACUGCGAGCGUGACGGCGCGAGCAGGUGCGAAAGCAGGUCAUAGUGAUCCGGUGGUUCUGAAUGGAAGGGCCAUCGCUCAACGGAUAAAAGGUACUCCGGGGAUAACAGGCUGAUACCGCCCAAGAGUUCAUAUCGACGGCGGUGUUUGGCACCUCGAUGUCGGCUCAUCACAUCCUGGGGCUGAAGUAGGUCCCAAGGGUAUGGCUGUUCGCCAUUUAAAGUGGUACGCGAGCUGGGUUUAGAACGUCGUGAGACAGUUCGGUCCCUAUCUGCCGUGGGCGCUGGAGAACUGAGGGGGGCUGCUCCUAGUACGAGAGGACCGGAGUGGACGCAUCACUGGUGUUCGGGUUGUCAUGCCAAUGGCACUGCCCGGUAGCUAAAUGCGGAAGAGAUAAGUGCUGAAAGCAUCUAAGCACGAAACUUGCCCCGAGAUGAGUUCUCCCUGAGACUUAAAGUCUCCUGAAGGAACGUUGAAGACGACGACGUUGAUAGGCCGGGUGUGUAAGCGCAGCGAUGCGUUGAGCUAACCGGUACUAAUGAACCGUGAGGCUUAA